UAUAGAUUCUACAGCCACAGGAUCGUUUGGCCCUCCUCGUAUACGUCCACCAGUUUGAUUUGAAUUCCUUUUGAAAAGGUAUAUUCUUUAAAUGAUCAUAAGCCUUCUGAAUGGAUUCAUAUGUUGGCUGAUCUGAGCAGAUGUUAGAGAGCGAUGACAUAGAGUUCAGUCCUCGGAUUUGUAAUAAAGAAUUUCGGGUACGAGGCAAACCCAAUUUUCUGGCAAGUUUGGCGGUGACAAAAUUAGACAUACUGCCUGAAUCAAUUAG